rnacentral:tRNA from 1 species
GUUCUAAUAAUUUAAUUAAAAAUAUUGGUUUUGUAAACCAAAAUUAAGUAAUCUUUUAGAACU